rnacentral:pre_miRNA from 1 species
GGGGGGAGUGCAGGAUCCUGGGCUGUGUUCCCCGGAGCCCUGGGAUCCGGGGCCUGUACUGCUGGAAUCGCUCUCAGGGCCACGCAGCCCCCU